GAUGAACGCUAGCGGCAGGCCUAAUACAUGCAAGUCGGACGGGAUUCAGGAGCUUGCUUCUGAUGAGAGUGGCGCACGGGUGCGUAACACGUAUGUAACCUACCUUUAUCAGGGGGAUAGCCUCUCGAAAGAGAGAUUAAGCCCGCAUAAAAUCACAGCACAGCAUUGUGUAAUGAUCAAAUAUUUAUAGGAUAAAGAUGGGCAUGCGGAACAUUAGCUAGAUGGCGGGGUAACGGCCCACCAUGGCGACGAUGUUUAGGGGAUCUGAGAGGAUGGCCCCCCACACUGGUACUGAGACACGGACCAGACUCCUACGGGAGGCAGCAGUAAGGAAUAGUGGGCAAUGGGCGGAAGCCUGAACCAGCCAUGCCGCGUGCAGGAAGACGGCCCUACGGGUUGUAAACUGCUUUUAUACGGGAAUAAACCCAGAUACGUGUAUCUGGCUGAAUGUACUGUAAGAAUAAGGAUCGGCUAACUCCGUG
rnacentral:rRNA from 1 species